UCGGAGAUCCUGCCUCUCCCAGACCAGCGCCAGCGGGGAGGCCCAGGCUGCAGAGGAACACCCCAAUUCUCCGCGACCCCGCAGCCGGGACACUCGCGGGGCCUGGGGUCCCCUCCUCCCCCACAGUCCCCGCCCAGCCCUGGUCCAGCCUGUGGAGAGAGGGAAAGGCUGCGGGUGGCGCCGCAACACUCCCGCCUCAAGGAGCAGUCCCUACCGGCCUAUGACGGGGUGGAAGGACGCGAAGGCCUUACCUGCUUUAUGUACAUGAUUCCGGGCCCCUGGCCUGGAAGGAGACUUGCCCGGGAGCAGCGACCGCCCGGCUGCACGGUCAGAUACCUGGGAGACAUUGCAAGACCUCUUUGGGGACCUUAGCAUCGCAGAAGUUCUACAGUUCUACAGCUGCAAGUAAUGGAUUCUGCCAAAUCCAGGGAGCUUGGAAAAGGUUCUAAGGCUCAGAUGAAACUGCAGCCUGGCUAACACCUUGAUUUCAGUCUGAUGCUACCUGAGCAGAGGGCUGUUACCUGUGCCCAGACUUCUGGCCAUAUUUCAAAAAAUUUCUGAGGCUGUAGACUCUUUCACACAACAACAAUGUAGUUGGUGCAGUAAAAUAUCUGGUGCUAUAAAGACUCCAAAGACAGCAAAGGUGAGGUACAGGGCAAGGGCAAAGUGCACAUAUGAUGUACCUUGAUGUCAUAGUUUCUCAUUGCCCUCCUUAUCUCCCCUAUACUGCUAAGAGAUUCCAGUCUCAUGAAUAUGAAAGAGAUACCUCACUAUUGCCCAGUUCCUAUUCAGUUCUCAUGGUACCCAAGAGAUAGAGCUGGCACCCCAGAGAUGUUCCCAAAUUAUAGUUCUGUCUUGGUGAUGCCUGGGACUGUCAAAUCACCCAAGAGAAAACCUAGGACACUCCCAUCUUGGAAGAUGGAAGAAGAACAUUUGUGAGAAGGUGGGAUUUAGAAAAGAGAGACACACUCUUUCAUUGCUUCUGCCACAGAAGAGAGAUAACUAGGAGAUGUUGCAAGACCUCUUUUGGGACGUUAGAGAAAAACCUUACAGAGGAGCCUUUUCAGAUACUUGUAACAAGCCCCCAGAACUAAAGACUGGACUCUUAUACCUCACAGGAAAUACAGGUCCUCAGCCCUCCACUGAAUGAUGCCAGGAAAAUUGUCAUUAUUGGAAAAACCUGGUGAUUUUAAAAAGAAGUGCCCAAGAAACUCUCAAUAACCUUCAUUUUGCUUCUCUACUUAAAAUUAACUUUGUGCCACCAUAAUCUUCAAAUUUUUAUUUUUAAAAACUCAAUUCUCAUAUGAGCAUGUGUCAUAGUUUGAUUUAACUUAUUAAUGAGGGAAUCACUAAAAUGACAAAGCUGGUUUAGAAGAGAAUGUAAGAAACUCAAAUUUACACAGGUGUUAGAAAAAAAGAGUGCUGAAAUAUUAUUCCUAGGUUAGACACAAAACUAGUAAAUAUUCUACAGGGUGAUAAACUAUAACCUUUAAGGUUAUCUUUUUCUAAAGGUCAAAAGAAAUUCAUCAUAUCGUAUCAGUUUUCUUCCAUUUUCUACAGCAUUGUAAACCAUCUGGGCCUUAAACAAUUGUGAAUACUAAGUCAUUAAUUAUAUUGAAAGGACUUGCAAAUUUUUGUUGUUGUAGUUCCAGGUUUUGCAUUACUUUUCUGAAUAAGGACCUUGAGAAUAAAAGAAAAGUUAGAGAGAAAAUUCUUGGUGACCUUAAACAUUCUCUAAAAGCUAAAGACCAAACCCUUUUACCCUUAGAGAGGGUUACAAGCAUUCUCUCUCCACUGACCUAAUCACAGUAGGAAAAUCGCAACUAUUACGAAAAACUGAUCAUUGGAAAAAUAAUUGACUGAAUAAAUGGGUAAUCCUCCAUAUAUUGCUCUUAUACUUGUACCAAAUCCUCACAGCCUUCAUAUUCCAUAUAAAUGCAAUCACAAAAUA